AGGAGGACUUCUUUGUGGAAGUGACUUUCUAAAAACCUAAAUCAGAUCAUGUCACUUUCCUACCCAAAGCUCAUUGCUCACUUUCCAUUGACUUGGAAUGAAUAAAUCCAGACUUCUUAUCUCAGCCUGUAAAGUUCUAAUUGUCUAACUGCUUCCCACUUUCUACUCCUGUUCUCUGUUUCAUUCUAGCCACACAGGUCUUUUCUUUUUUCAAACUCACCAAGGCCUUUCUCACACUAGGGCUUCUCAUUCAGGUCUCAGCCUAAAUGACACCUUUUUGGGGAUCACUCUAACACAAGAGCCCGUUUUAUUUUCUACAUGGCACUUAAAACGAUCUAAACUGACCAUGAUAAUCUCAUUGUCUGCUGUCCACUUCCUCUUGGGAAAGUAAGUCCCAUGACAAUGGACCUGGCCUGUCUCAUUUACUUGCUUCAUCCCCCAUGCCUGACAUAUUGUAGGCAUUCGACUAAUAUUAGUUAGUCGUAUAAGUAAAGAAUGAAUGAAAAGUCAGUAUGCCAUUUAAAAGCAGAGCCAUAAAUAUACUAGGAGUUAACUGGGUGACUGGGAACACACACUGACAGGAAAAAUAUUUCAGAUCAAAGUCAGAGCAAGUGGGAGAAGCUGGAGACGUGACGGACAGGACUUAGGUCACAGAGGCUGUGGUAUUAUGGUUUAUAAUAAAUAAACGUUUGGUCUUCAUCCCAUUCCUGGCACAGAGCUCCUAAAACCCAUGGCAUUUCCUAAGUGGUAAGAGUGGUAAAGGUGUUCUUUUGUUAUGUUAAUGAUUGACUUUUGGAAUGGCCCUAGGUCAUCCAAGGGUGGGGGAUGCUUAUCUGGGAACCUGCCUUGUGAUUAGAGAGUUGAAACUUUUAGUCCUAACCCACCAACCCCCACCUCCAGGAAGGGAAGUGGUGCUGGGGGUUGAAUCAAUGACCAAUUAUCUAAUUAAUCAUGCCUAUGUUAUGAAGGCACUAUAAAACUCACAAAGAAAAGGACAGGGUUCAAGAGUUUCCAGGUAGGUGAACAGGUGGGGACUCGGGGAGAGUGGAGCACUCAAGGAAAAGGAAGAGCGCCUCUUCCCACACGCCUUGCCCUGUGCAUCUCUUCCAUCUGGCUGUUCCUGACUUAUAUCCUUUUAUAAUAAACCAGUGAUCUAGUAAGUAAAGUGUUUUCCUGAGUUCUGUGAGCCUCUCCAGCAAAUUAAACUCAGGGGAGGAGUCUUUGGAACCUGCCAUCUAUAACUGGAGCUGGAAUCUGGAUGAGUCUUAGAGCCUGGGCAGCACUCACCCCAGGAAGGAAAGAACUUUCUACCAGAAAGAACUGCAUGUGCAAAAGCCUGCAGUGGUCAUAGUGCUUAAGGUCAAACUUUGUGGAGCCAUCAAGCUGAGAAAGGAUCCAACU